CCUACGGGUGGCAGCAGUGGGGAAUAUUGCGCAAUGGGCGAAAGCCUGACGCAGCGACGCCGCGUGAGGGAUGAAGGUCUUCGGAUCGUAAACCUCUGUCAGCAGGGAAGAACGGUCACUGUGCUAAUCAGCAGUGAAUUGACGGUACCUGCAAAGGAAGCACCGGCUAACUCCGUGCCAGCAGCCGCGGUAAUACGGAGGGUGCGAGCGUUAAGCGGAAUUACUGGGCGUAAAGCGCUCGUAGGCGGUAUGUCAAGUCAAGGGUGAAAUCCCCGCGCUCAACGUGGGAACUGCCUUUGAAACUGAGAAACUGGAGUGUGUGAGAGGAGAGUGGAAUUCCAGGUGUAGGAGUGAAAUGCGUAGAUAUCUGGAGGAACAUCAGUGGCGAAGGCGACUAUCUGGCACAUAACUGACGCUGAGGAGCGAAAGCGUGGGUAGCAAACAGGAUUAGAUACCCCUGUAGUC
rnacentral:rRNA from 1 species